rnacentral:lncRNA from 10 species
CUCAGAUAUUUCUUGAUUAUCCCUGCAACCCUGGAAAAAGGAAAAGUAAUCCUUCAUCUUAUGGGACAACUGAUAGUCCUAGAAGCAGGAGCAGCAAGUGCAACGCUACACAACCAGAAAGAGACGAAGCCAGAACUGAAACUCAGCCCUUCUAAUUGCUUCUCUCCAGUGUUCCAGCUCAAGCCACUCCUAGGCAGAAAUUCCUUCUGGUGCACAGUAUUUUUCAGAGGAUGCAUGAUGGAUGAUAUUGCAACAGAUUGACCAUGGAUGCAGAUACAAGAAUUCAGCUGUCUUCUGUUAAGCCAGACAUUAAAGAAAUUUUCAAACACGUCAACAACAUCACUCUUUUCUAUUUAUUUUGUCUCAGAAAAUAGUUAUUUUUCAUUUAAAGUGUGUGAUUUAUGUUAACAUAUAAUGAGUUUCUUAAUCAUUUUAAAAUGAAUUAAUAAAUACAUUUUUCUCAGCUU